rnacentral:rRNA from 1 species
GUCGAGCGGACCGAAGGGAGCUUGCUCCUUUAGGUUAGCGGCGGACGGGUGAGUAACACGUGGGCAACCUGCCCUGCAGACUGGGAUAACUUCGGGAAACCGGAGCUAAUACCGGAUAACACCGAAAACCGCAUGGUUUUCGGUUGAAAGGCGGCUUUUAGCUGUCACUGCAGGAUGGGCCCGCGGCGCAUUAGCUAGUUGGUGAGGUAACGGCUCACCAAGGCGACGAUGCGUAGCCGACCUGAGAGGGUGACCGGCCACACUGGGACUGAGACACGGCCCAGACUCCUACGGGAGGCAGCAGUAGGGUAUCUUCCGCAAUGGGCGCAAGCCUGACGGAGCAACGCCGCGUGAGUGAUGAAGGCCUUCGGGUUGUAAAACUCUGUCUUCUGUGAAGAACCAUCCUGUGCAGAGAAAGCUCAGGACCUGACGGUAACAGAGGAGGAAGCCCCGGCUAACUACGUGCCAGCAGCCGCGGUAAU